rnacentral:rRNA from 1 species
GACGAACGCUGGCGGCGUGCUUAACACAUGCAAGUCGAACGGUGAAGCGAGUGCCUGCCCUCGUGGAUCAGUGGCGAACGGGUGAGUAACACGUGAGUAACCUGCCCAUCACUCUGGGAUAAGCACUGGAAACGGUGUCUAAUACUGGAUACGACCAACCCUUGCAUGGGGUGUUGGUGGAAAGAUUUAUCGGUGAUGGAUGGACUCGCGGCCUAUCAGCUUGUUGGCGGGGUAAUGGCCCACCAAGGCGACGACGGGUAGCCGGCCUGAGAGGGUGACCGGCCACACUGGGACUGAGACACGGCCCAGACUCCUACGGGAGGCAGCAGUGGGGAAUAUUGCACAAUGGGCGAAAGCCUGAUGCAGCGACGCCGCGUGAGGGAUGACGGCCUUCGGGUUGUAAACCUCUUUCAGCAGGGAAGAAGCGAAAGUGACGGUACCUGCAGAAGAAGCACCGGCUAACUACGUG